GGAAAGGUGCCGGAGUGGCUGAACGGGACUCCCUGCUAAGUAGUUGUACUCGUAAGGGUACCAAGGGUUCGAAUCCCUUUCUUUCCGCCA
rnacentral:tRNA from 1 species